rnacentral:rRNA from 1 species
UACGGUAGGCAGCAAGCGUUGUUCGGAGUACUGGGCGUAAAGGUGCGUAGGCGGCUUCUUAAGUCUGGUGUGAAAUCUCCCGGCUCAACUGGGAGGGUGCGCCGAUACUGAGGGGCUAGAGUGUGGGAGAGAAGUGGAAUUCCUGGUGUAGCGGUGAAAAUGCGUAGAUAUCAGGAGGAACACCGGUGGUGUAAACGGCUUUCUGGACCAUAACUGACGCUGGAGGCACGAAAGCGUGGGUAGCAAACAGG